rnacentral:rRNA from 1 species
AACGCGAAGAACCUUACCUACCCUUGACAUCCAUGGAAUUUUGCAGAGAUGCGAAAGUGCCGAAAGGAACCAUGAGACAGGUGCUGCAUGGCUGUCGUCAGCUCGUGUUGUGAGAUGUUGGGUUAAGUCCCGUAACGAGCGCAACCCCUGUUCACAGUUGCCAGCGCGUAAAGGCGGGGACUCUGUGGAGACUGCCGGUGAUGAACCGGAGGAAGGCGGGGACGACGUCAAGUCAUCAUGGCCUUUAUGGGUAGGGCUACACACGUGCUACAAUGGGGCGUACAGAGGGUAGCCAACCCGCGAGGGGGAGCCAAUCCCAGAAAGCGUCUCUUAGUCCGGACUGGAGUCUGCAACUCGACUCCACGAAGUCGGAAUCGCUAGUAAUCGCGAAUCAGAAUGUCGCGGUGAAUACGUUCCCGGGCCUUGUACACACCGCACGA